AGAGUUUGAUUCCUGGCUCAGGAUGAACGCUGGCGGCGUGCUUAACACAUGCAAGUCGAACGAACCUUCGGGUGAGUGGCGGACGGGUGAGUAACGCGUGGGAAUCUGCCCUCAGGAGGGGGAUAACGGCUGGAAACGGCCGCUAAUACCCCAUAUGCCGAGAGGUGAAAUGAAUUUCGCCUGAGGAUGAGCCCGCGUCUGAUUAGCUAGUUGGUGAGGUAAGAGCUCACCAAGGCAUCGAUCAGUAGCUGGUCUGAGAGGAUGAUCAGCCACACUGGGACUGAGACACGGCCCAGACUCCUACGGGAGGCAGCAGUGGGGAAUUUUCCGCAAUGGGCGAAAGCCUGACGGAGCAACGCCGCGUGAGGGAUGAAGGCCUCUGGGCUGUAAACCUCUUUUCUCAAGGAAGAAGAUCUGACGGUACUUGAGGAAUAAGCCACGGCUAAUUCCGUGCCAGCAGCCGCGGUAAUACGGGAGUGGCAAGCGUUAUCCGGAAUUAUUGGGCGUAAAGCGUCCGCAGGCGGCCCUUCAAGUCUGCUGUUAAAACGUGGAGCUUAACUCCAUCAUGGCAGUGGAAACUGUUGGGCUCGAGUGUGGUAGGGGCAGAGGGAAUUCCCGGUGUAGCGGUGAAAUGCGUAGAUAUCGGGAAGAACACCAGUGGCGAAGGCGCUCUGCUGGGCCAUAACUGACGCUCAUGGACGAAAGCCAGGGGAGCGAAAGGGAUUAGAUACCCCUGUAGUCCUGGCCGUAAACGAUGAACACUAGGUGUCGGGGGAAUCGACCCCCUCGGUGUCGUAGCCAACGCGUUAAGUGUUCCGCCUGGGGAGUACGCACGCAAGUGUGAAACUCAAAGGAAUUGACGGGGGCCCGCACAAGCGGUGGAGUAUGUGGUUUAAUUCGAUGCAACGCGAAGAACCUUACCAGGGUUUGACAUCCUGCGAACCUCUUGGAAACGAGAGGGUGCCUUCGGGAGCGCAGUGACAGGUGGUGCAUGGCUGUCGUCAGCUCGUGUCGUGAGAUGUUGGGUUAAGUCCCGCAACGAGCGCAACCCACGUCUUUAGUUGCCAGCAUUUAGUUGGGCACUCUAGAGAGACCGCCGGUGAUAAACCGGAGGAAGGUGUGGAUGACGUCAAGUCAUCAUGCCCCUUACAUCCUGGGCUACACACGUACUACAAUGCUACGGACAAAGAGCAGCAAGUUCGCGAGGACAAGCAAAUCUCAUAAACCGUGGCUCAGUUCAGAUCGUAGGCUGCAACUCGCCUACGUGAAGGAGGAAUCGCUAGUAAUCGCAGGUCAGCAUACUGCGGUGAAUACGUUCCCGGGCCUUGUACACACCGCCCGUCACACCAUGGAAGUUGGCCACGCCCGAAGCCGUUACUCCAACCCUUGUGGAGGAGGACGUCGAAGGUGGGGCUGAUGACUGGGGUGAAGUCGUAACAAGGUAGCCGUACCGGAAGGUGCGGCUGGAUCACCUCCUAA
rnacentral:rRNA from 1 species